rnacentral:rRNA from 1 species
GGACCUGACUGCUAUCGGAUUGAUACUAAGCCAUGCGAGUCAUUGUAGCAAUACAAGGCAUACGGCUCAGUAACGCGUAGUCAACCUAACCUAUGGACGGGAAUAACCUCGGGAAACUGAGAAUAAUGCCCGAUAGAACAUUAUGCCUGGAAUGGUUUAUGUUCCAAAUGAUUUAUCGCCGUAGGAUGGGACUGCGGCCUAUCAGUUUGUUGGUGAGGUAAUGGCCCACCAAGACUAUUACAGGUACGGGCUCUGAGAGGAGUAGCCCGGAGAUGGGUACUGAGACACGGACCCAGGCCUUAUGGGGCGCAGCAGGCGAGAAAACUUUGCAAUGUGCGAAAGCACGACAAGGUUAAUCCGAGUGGUUUCUGCUAAAGAAACCUUUUGUCAGUCCUAGAAACACUGAUGAAUAAGGGGUGGGCAAGUUCUGGUGU